ACAGAGAGGGGCUGUCCUAGGAGUGCUGGUCAAAACAAAGAGGAAUAACACAUCUGCCAUUUUAGCUGCAUUUACAACAAAGUAUUUGUGUGGACAGCUGUUCAAGAGAAUAUUCUAUUAAUAAAACCUUUUAGUAGAAUUAAGUGGAAUUUCUUGCAUUGGUAUCUAGAAGUGGUUUGCAGGGGAUCUGAAGGAGAAAUAUUAGAAAUGGUGGCAAUGCUCAUUAGGAUCAGUAACACAUACAAGAUCAUACAAUUACUAAACACUACAACACUGAACUGUCAUCCCAGAGUCUGCGACAGCUGAUAAACCUUAAAACAACAGAAAACUGGAGAAAUCAUGUCCGGAUUCAUGUUUCUCCAAACUCCCUCUGAAAAUAGGCUCAGCUGUCAUAGAUGGUCAAAUUGCCAAGUCAAAAAGACUUGAAUACUUUUUGAUGCAGAAGACAUCUGAGUUGAUCACCAAUCACUCCAUCCAAACAGAGUUAGAGCUUGGCCAGAGCCCGAAGUCUAAUUGCUGGGUAUCACUUAACACAUUUUUAAAACAAGACUCUAAAAAACAACAGUUAUAAACAAGAAACCUUAGGGUUACAAACCAAUCAAACCAGCAAAUAACUGAAUCCUUACGAAGUUUCUGUCAAGACAGAGAUUCUUCAAACACAACAAACGUCUUGAAUUCUCUGCUGGAGUACUUCUGUAAUAAUAAUAAAAAGGAACCACAAGACUGGCAAUCUGGAUAAAAAACCCCCAGAAACAUAUGAGUAGUUAGGAAAUAAAGAAGAACGGGAUCCUGAAGAGACACGUGUCUUGCAGAUAAUCACACAAAGAGAUAGCAAAACACAAUAAAAGCCAGCUGCAAACACCACAAAAACACCCCAACAACAAUUCUCAUCACAAAAAUCUGAAGACUCAUACAACAAAAUCAACUAAUCAACAAGAAGUGCUUGAGGGAUUAAGACAACCUUCCCAAAGCAUUCAUCCAACAUUAACAACAAUCACCAUCUAUCAGCAUUAUUUAUAAAAAUUAAAAAUAACAAAGGUUAUAAACUCAAUACUAACAAUGCUUUAAACUUUUAAUCAUUGGGGAAUCAACUGAUGACACCACAACAGGAUCUGAUUGACAUUUCCCAAAUGUUCUGUCUUCCAAGACACCUUGGCUAAUUAAAUCAUUACUAAUACUUUCAUCUUUACAUGAUGGUUUCCCUCCCUGGGAGGCAUUUUUCAUAAGAUUUCUGUCUAUAUCAUAUUUAGAAUAACAUUGACUCGCAUAGGGUUCCCCUUUUUCCUGCAUCUUGUGCAAAGACUUGGUGCUUUCUCACUUUUCUGAUGAAGAUUCUGUGGAACUGGCCUGUGGAAGAGUUGGGUGAAGUGCCCCAUAUAACAUCUGCUGCAUUUUCUGUGGAGUUGCCCUGUUAAAAAACUGGAUAAAGCGCUGUGAGAGUUCUCAGUUUUCCAUCUUGCCCUUGAAGGAGUUUCCUGACGUGCUUUUUUUUUUCCCAAACGCCAGCUUGGAGUGCUGCGAUGUGCUGGUUGCUGUGGUUCCCUGGCAACUGUGACAGGGUGGUGCCUUGAGGAAUGUCUGACCACGUCCCGUCUCCGCCUGCUCUGGGGCAGCCUCAUCCUGCGUCAUCUCGGGGAUGGGGAAAGGACCGUUCUCGCCCUAGCCGCACCCCGCUUUCACCGGCUUUGAAGCAGCCGCGCCCUUGGGAACGCCCCCCUCCUCCCCGGGACCACCCGCGCUGCCCGGGUCCCAUUCGGGAUCCACCUUGCCCGGACCCGCGCAGCCCCGAUCUCAACUGGGGACCGCUCCCCUGGCUCCGCGCCAACAUCCGCACCCGGCGGGACCAUCUCCCACACCGCCGGUGCCCCUACCGCGCUGGCGAAAGGGGAAAAAGCCUUUCUCGCUCUGGCUUCCGGGUUUUGCGUCAUCAACGCGCGUCCGUUGUGUCCCGCCGCCGCGGUCUGCGCUCCGCUCCGCUCGGUCCGCUCCGCUCGGCCCUGCCCGCACAGCUGCCCAGCAUUCCCCGGACGGCUGGGCGCUGCCCGCCGCCACCUCGCCGCCCCCACGGCCCCUCGCGGCGCUGCCGCUUUUGCUGCUGCCCUGAGCCACCGCUUGCAGCCGUCCCAGGCUGUCCGGUGCCGCCGUCACCAUCGCGGCACACCCAGGCGCCCCUGCGGCCGCUGCGCGCCACCCGGGCUUGCUGACUGCCUGUUACUGCCUCGGCAUGGUCGAAAUGCAGCUCCCCCUCGGGCCCCGCGACUUCCUCCACCCCCCGCCCCGAUGGGUCCGCCGUCGCGUCCAUGGCUUCUGUCGCCCUCGUGCCCCCGCCGCUGCCUUCGCUGCCGCCCCUGGCUGCUGUAUGCUGCCCAGCGCCGCUGCGAGAGGCUGCCCCCCGUAUCCUUCUGGCCCUGUGAUCUCGGCACCCUCUCCCGUCAGUCCCUCCGCCGCCGCCCCCGCCGUGAGUGUACUUAGUAUGGGACUACAAGCCUGUUCAUGGGCGAGAUCCCACUUUUCCUCCUCCCCGAGGGAACUGGCUAGUUUCGACUUUCCUGGGACUGGUUGAGGGAUGUCUGCAUCAGAGGACCCUGGAGAUUCUGGGUGUUCUGGGGAUUCUGAGGACUCAAGGGACCCCUGGGACCCUGGACGUGAUGGUAAAUAGUCCUGUUAAUUUUCAGUGGGAGGCAUUCCUGCUUCCCCUGGAUCCGUGGUAGAGAGAAUUGCCUCCUGCUGAUCACAGGGCAAUUUCCCUCCCUCGGCUCCCGUAGGGAGUCUGGGCUGCCUGCUGUUGGCAAGGCGGUGAGUCAUUACUACUGCCUGCUGAUGGCAGGUAGCCCCCGCGGCAUUCUGCGAAAUCGUUUCCAGCAUUGUUCCCGCUGGAGCCAAAAGUCUUAAGGCCUUAGUAUCUUUCCCUGUUGCUAAAUGAUAAAGGUGUCCGUUAAUCUCCCUGAGAUGUUCCUGGGAAUAAGCUUCCCCAGUGUUCUCAGUGUUCUAAAUUUUGACCUUUCUAACCAAAAGCUGAAGCACUGCGAGGUCGGUCCAGAGGUUGUCCUGGUCCCUGGCCAGCAGAUCACAGAUGAGGAUUCCUAGGUGCCUUGGUCUUCCUCUCAUCCAGGCCGUGCUCAAGGUGAUUUAUUUCAGCAAGGGUCAGGUUGUUCUUCCCUGGAUUUUUCUCUCUGGUGGUGUGACUCUUCCUGGGUUGGAAUUCAGCGUCUGGUGGCUUGGCUGCUUGCCAACAGCCCACCUCUGAGCUUCGCCCACCCAGGGACACCAGAUCUCGGGUUCCCUCCCUGGUCGAGAUGAUCCCGAGGUGUGUCAAAAGUCUUUUUCUCCAACCCAGCUGUCCAAGAGGAAAUCAGAAGUCUUCGGCUGUCGUUCUCAAGGCACUAAGCUGUUUACAGAAGAAGAACAAACAGUGAUUAUGGAAGAUGAAGAAAAAGAUGGAGACAUAAUCCACGGUUAGAUUACAGUGGUAUUUCAAUAAUACAGUGUAAAUAAUAAUGGGUCAUUCAAAGUGGCAGCACAUUAAAAAAUAUCUUUCACAUUUGUAAAUAAUUUUCUCAGUUGUACGCUUGAAUUUAAACUACCAUCAAGUGCUUAUCUGCAUCUAGUAAUUCCUAGCAAGCAUCAUUGGACAUGAAUGGCAGAAAUUUCAGUUACACAGGGUUUGAAGGAUUCUGUCAGUUUACUACAAGUGGCUUCCUAGCAUUUUUGUCAAUGAGGAAUCCAAUUCAGAUCAGAUCUGGUUUUGUGGAGUGUGGUGCUCAUACAGUACCUGGCACUGGAAGUGGUAAUGCAGAGUAGUAAAACACCAGCUAGUGAUUCAAAUUGCUUUUUUUGCCUGACACUUGACCUCAUUUGUCCAGUUUUCCUUUCCUGGAAUAACACUGACCACAGUGAAAAUUCCCAUGUGCAGAGCUGAUGGGAUAGAUGAAGAAGGUGAGAGGACCAGGAUUCAAUUCUAGAGUCUCUGAAAUGCAAAGCAAAAAUUUCCUCUGCCUGGAUCUGCUCAUGACUUUUGUCUGUAAGGAGGAAAAGAUAAAUUUACUUUAGAAUUAAAAUUACACCUAAGGGCUCUCAGCCUUGACAGAUGCAUCAAAUAGGAUGGAGGGCAGAGAUCUCAGAGGACAAACACUAGGGAAGUGCAAUGCCUGCAGGUAAUUGUCUCCACUGGCUUGGUGAAAGAUAAAAUUGUUGGAUAGUUGAUCCUUUUGCUCAAAAUAAUUUCUUUUCACAUCUGCUUUUUAAAUUGAAUUCUAGGUAAUCAGUUAGGAGAGGCUGUAAAGAUUCAAAAUCACAGCAGGAAAGUAAAACUUGAAUAAAAGGAAUAAUGUUACUCAAUGGCAUAUGCUUACUGCAAGGUAGAAGAGCAUAGUGACUUUUUAAAUAGUUUACCUCAAUGAUUCAAACAAGAAUUGUUUUCACAGCCAGCUACAGCAUUUGUAGAGAGAUGGGUAUUGGUAGAAUAUUUUACCCAAAAAAAGACAGAACUGGACUCUGUGUGCUGACCUUAAUACUCUGGGAUAGAUGGAGUAGCACUGCCAGAUGAACCCUUAGGGAAUUAAGCAGAGAGGUUGAAGAUUAUCUAGCCUGAUGGACAGAAUUUAGUUAUCUUUUUAAGUCACUUAUACAGACAGCUGAGGACCAUACUAGUUUGGACUCCAUUUGCCACUCUGACUGACCCAACAUCUUUCAUGAAAAUACAGUCCAUUCACAAAUAUAUGUGAAUGUAUACUCUCAAGAUGUAAUCAGUGAGCUUACAAUAAAUAAUUGCAUAUUAAAUUGCA